rnacentral:rRNA from 1 species
GAUGAACGCUGGCGGCGUGCCUAAUACAUGCAAGUCGAGCGAACGGACGAGAAGCUUGCUUCUCUGAUGUUAGCGGCGGACGGGUGAGUAACACGUGGAUAACCUACCUAUAAGACUGGGAUAACUUCGGGAAACCGGAGCUAAUACCGGAUGAUAUUUUGAACCGCAUGGUUCAAAAGUGAAAGACGGUCUUGCUGUCACUUAUAGAUGGAUCCGCGCUGCAUUAGCUAGUUGGUAAGGUAACGGCUUACCAAGGCAACGAUGCAUAGCCGACCUGAGAGGGUGAUCGGCCACACUGGAACUGAGACACGGUCCAGACUCCUACGGGAGGCAGCAGUAGGGAAUCUUCCGCAAUGGGCGAAAGCCUGACGGAGCAACGCCGCGUAAGUGAUGAAGGUCUUCGGAUCGUAAAACUCUGUUAUUAGGGAAGAACAUAUGUGUAAGUAACUGUGCACAUCUUGACGGUACCUAAUCAGAAAGCCACGGCUAACUACGUG